GGGCGUGGUUCUGAAAUAAUAUAAAACAAAACAAACAACGUAAACAACUUGGAAGCGAUUUUUGCAGAGUCUGGAGAGAAGUAAUUUACCGGCCUUAGAUUUACAAGAAGUCUAUAAUGGAAGUGUUUCGUCGUUUGAAAGAGUAUAUUUGUUGGUUAUAUACUCAAUACACCCUUGUGACUGCUGUUUAUAUGCUCGAACCAGCAGAAAGAUAUACUUUCAAUUCAAUCAUCGUGCUGACAAUUCUAACCGCUGCCUACACCACCUAUAUCUACUUGCCAUCUCACUGUGCCAUGGUACUUGGAUACCUUGGGUUGCUUGAUGCCGCCUCUCCGACAACAUGACAGAGGAUUGGAUACGUGGGACUGGUAACAAAAUGGCCGAGGAUGAGAUACAUUUGAUUCAAAACUCUGAAGGGAUUAUUAUGUCAUGAAGAGGCUUAAUGCUGAUGGAUGACGUGUUUCAUGAAAGGACUUGUCAAAAUGCUAUAUCCGACAGUUGCCAUAGAAACUGUGCUUCUCAGCCAAUCAGGGAAGUUGGCAGAUAUGACAACUUGGUCGGGCGGAAAGUGUUGAUGAUAUCAGCAGCUGCUCUCAAGUGCAACUGUGUUCUCCAAGAAAUAGCUUACUGAAUCUCCAAUGAAUUAUGUUUCAUAGCCUCAUUCCCCGGAUCGGAAAAUGCAUUGCCUAUAGUGUAAACUCUUUUUAACGUUCAGUAUUUUUAAACGAAAAGAAAGAAAAUCCAAAAAAGGUACUUCCUCUUCUUUCUGUGCAAUGUACAAUUUGAGAAGAUAGUCGUCUUUCACCACCCGCACCAUCCCCCUUCCUCGCUUGCUUUGAACCGUUUGUUUUCCAGUGAUAAUCAAGUUCUUUUGCCAAGAAUAUUUGUUGUAGGGCUGUAGGGUAAGGUAGAAUGUGAACAUUUUUGUUCAAUGCAUAUUGUGGGCUUUCUUUCUAACAAAAUUUCAAGAUUCUUCCUUAUUCUUAGUUACAUGUAAUUUUAAUUUUGAAUGGAUGUCAUGUAAUUAUGGUAUUGUGAUAAUUGCGUGAACCUAUUGACGAGGGGCUCUUUGCAUAAAAGUUAUCAUUAUGGUAACUUGGCCAUGUAAAUGUAACUUGCAUGGAAUCCUUUAUAUUGAUUGGCUGCUGAUCAGCGUUACCAUGGUAGUUAACCAUUGGAGGGCAAAGUUACCAGAAUUAUAUUAACUUUUAUGCUACAGGGCCCCUGGGUGGUAUUCAAUUUCGCCAUAAUUUUAUAUAUUUUACUUGGUGUUUUGCUUAAUUACAAUAGUUAUAAAUAGGGAUUCAGAAUGGAGGCUUCUUGAGGGCAGUAGUGCACAUGCAGUUCUCCCUGGAUGCUCACGGUGCUAUCCUAGCAACAGUUCUACAUGUAUUAAUAAUGGAGAGUGCAGACUGAAACACUGACUAUAAAUUGUAGUACUGCUAAUUCUUCAUUAAAAGACAAACAUUUUCCUUUGUUUAAACAAUACUGAACAUGUACCUGCUCCUUUUAGUUUUCUCAGUGAUAUUCAUUUGACCAUGUGAAGACCUAGAUAGAUAUUGAUGAUUACAUGAAUUUUCUUUUAAAAGUGAGUGAGUUUUAAUAGAAUCAAAAUUGCACUAGGUCUGAUGAAAAGUGCAAUUUGGAUUCUAUUGCGAUACAUCUUUUUGUAUAAAAUAAGGGAUGAAUUAUGGGUACACAUUUGGAUAUUCCAAAAUAUAUAUCCUUGUUGAACAGAGUGAGAGGUGAAUUUUUUUUUUACAAAGUGACUGUGGUCGUCCACUUUGACUUUCACAGUGAAUAGAUUAUUUUCUUCCUAGUUUCUAUGCCGUAUGAAGUGUAAUUAAUCCAUGAUGCAUACAAGUAUGUGAAUGAAGGUCAUUUGCACGAUGUUGAGAUCUUAUAGUUAUAAUUCUGUUUUAUUUCUUGUUCCUUUUUUAUAGUAAUGGUAGUGCAAGACAUUUCUUAUAUUGCUUUGUGAUUCUACAGGGCUUUUAUGUUCAGGAGAUAUUUUGGGCCUCAUUUAUCUGACUUGCAAAUUUAUUUCAGUUAUUUUUUUUUAUUUGUAUACUAUGGCAAAGUGCUGUGAGAAAUCAUUAUAAGAAAUUAUAACACACAGCAAGUGGGUUUUUAUUUCUAACUUCCAUGUUACUUACAAGGUGAACAGCUAUCGGUAUGUCAAUUUAAAACUUUCAACUUGCAGAUUGAUAUUCUUAGAAAAGGGACUCAUGCUUUUCUGGUUUUCAUCCGGAAAUAUUUGAUAUUUUGAGAAUGCAUUAGUAGCUAUUUGCCACACUGUUAAACUCCUAUGUGUUUUUAUGUGUGAAUACUGGUAUUUUUCAACUGACUCAGUAGCAAAGACAUUCUUCCAUCUUGAAAGCUUUUAGACGUCUCUGGGUCAUACACGGAGCAACACAUAAUGCAUGCAAAGUGAUAUCCUUUUAACUUAAUAUCCCAGUUUAGCUCGUUGGAAGAGCUUCUUUAGGGAUUUCUUCUACAAGGUGCAAGGUAUCAAAUUACUGGUAUUCUCACCCUUAAAAUGGUAUCUUCAGGGGUGUAUAAUGUAAAUUUCAACAAGGUCUUUUGUUGAAUUAAAAUCGUCAACGUGUAGUGGAAAUCUUCAGGAUGCGAUGCAAACAAAAAGAAUUGAACGUAAAUUCAUGACGCCCUUGUACAAGAUUUAAUUUAGUAAAUGUAUUGUAUUAUACAUUUACUUUUAAUUGAUGAACAAUGAUUCAUUUGGAUUUAUGACAUCUGAAAUACAUAUGGAAACAUUUUUUUUCUUUCUCAAAUUUCUUGCAUUUGAAAGACGGAUGUCAGCUGCAUGUAAUAAUACAAAAUAGUAUAUUUUUGCUGUUGUCAAUGAAGUUUUUCAUUAUGUUUUGAUACUGGUUAUAAUUGAUUUGUGAGAUACUUGUACAUGUAUUUAUAAUAAAUUUUCAUAUGACUAGGAAAAUAUCUUGUUUCUUUUUGGUUUCUUGAAUUGCAUCCAGAUAUUUUGAUUUUU
rnacentral:lncRNA from 1 species